rnacentral:lncRNA from 10 species
GAGUGCAGUGGUGCGAUCUCGGCUGACUGCAACCUCCGCCUCCCAGGCUCAAGAAAUUCUCCUGCCUCAGCCUCCUGAGUAGCUGGGAUUGCAGGCACGCACCACCACGCCCGGCUAAUUUUUGUAUUUUUGCUACAGACGGGGUUUCACCAUCUGCUGGGACGGGACACCCUCUCUUCUUGAUCUCACUCCCAGAAAAGACACUGAAGGAGCAGAGGUGUGGACGCCUCAUACUGCACAGUACCUGCAGAUCCAAGGCUAACCCAGCCCAGGGGCAGAGGAGGACACCAGAAGUAAGGAAUGCAGGAAGGAACUACAAGACCUGAGGCAGCAGGGACGCUCCCACAGGACCUCCGCUACAAACAGCAGGGAACAGGCCAGGCGCAGGGGCUCACACCUGUAAUCCCAGCACGUUGAGAGGCCGAGGCCGGAGGAUCACUUGAGUAGAGACGGGGUUUCACCGUGUUAGCCAGGAUGGUCUCAAUCUCCUGAAGUCGUGAUCCACCCGCCUUGGCCUCCCAAAGUGCUGGGAUUACAGGCGUGAGCCACUGCACCCGGCUGAAAUUGUAUACUUUAAAGGGAUGAAUUUUAUGGUAUGUGAAUUAUGUCUCAUUAAAAAAAACAAACUGUUAAG